UCGAUCGUGUGGCAUGAAAUAGAAGAGAGAGAAAAUGGGCGUCAAAGAAUUACUUGUCAAGGGACUAUGUAGUACCCCUAAAUAUAUUGACAUGUCUUGUCGAUAUGACAAACAAGGUUCUAUUUACGAUGAUCAGUGUCAAGACAUAGAGGAGUUUUACCACUACAAAUCAGAGGAAGCGAUCAUGCGUUGCAACGCAAAGGAUGCUGCACUUCAACUGAAAACUCCUCUGAGAUUAUUCGACCUCGGGUGUGGAUCCACAACUAAAUCACAAUAUCUCAUUAACGAACUUUUGGCGAACAAGAUUUUCUUCAGCAUGCUUGUGAAACCCUUAAAAAUAUAUAUGGAAAUCGCCUUAAAGUUGAUCCUAUUGCUGGUGAUUUCAUGAAUGUGAUUCCACAGAUAGGGAAGUACCGUGGUCGAAAAGUCCUUUUGUGGUUAAGUGGACUACAAUGUUUCCCUUUGGACACUCAACACCAGCUAUUAUCCAAAAUAUCAGAAUCAAUGGAAGGGGAUGAUAGCUUACUUAUGACAGCUGAUAUAACACAAGAUAAAGCCGUGAUCGAAAAAGCCUACCUGGAUUUCGAUGAUUCAAAACCCUUCGCCAAACUUUAUACAAACGGUGUACAUGUGGCAAAUAGAGAAUUGGGCGGUAAUAUCGAUUUGUCACAGUUUAUAUUGGAGGGAAGACAUGUUGAAGACAAAGAUGUGUCGAGGGCAAGCUACAACCAAGUUUGGCUACGAUCUUUAUGCAAUCAAUCCUAUUAUCUUGAAGAGGUUGGAAAGAAUGUCACCUUUGAGGAGGGAGAAAAGUUGCAUUUGUACUCAGGAAAUGGAAUAAGCCACAAAUACACCAUACCCCAGUUAGAAAAUGCUCUCGCAUCAGUGAAAUUACGGGUCUUAAAGAAGUGGGAUAAUGGGAACUCGGUCUUGUUGCUUUCAACUCGAGAAAAUGAACUCUAAUCAUAAUAAGAUUAAUUUAUAUAACUAUGAUUAGUUUACAUAUUUAAAUCAUACAAGUAAUUCAAUAAAUGUGGCUCUAU
rnacentral:misc_RNA from 1 species